AUCUAUUAAAAUAUAAUAUAAAAAAUUUAUUAUAAUAAAAAAUAUAAUAUAAAUAAAAUUAUUAAAUUAACAUUAUAUAAAAAUAAUAUAUUAAUUAAUUGAUAUAAUUAUAAUAUUUUAAUAAUUAAAAAAUUAAAUUAUGGUUUGACCACUUACAAAUAAAUAAUAAAAUAAAAAAAUAAAUAAUAGAAAAAAUAAAUAAUGGCCGGCACAGUUUAGAAUUGUAUUGUGUCUUUAUUUUUUAGUUAUUAAUAUAUUAUAAUAAAAUAUUUAUAUUAUAUUAAUUUAAUAUUAUUAUUAAUAUAUUAUAUUUUUAUAAUAAUAAAUAUUUUUUAUAAUUUUAAUAUAUUAAUAUUUAAUAAAUUUUAUUAUUAAUUUUUAAAUAAAAAAUUACUGUAAUAUAUAAUUUCAUAAUUAUAAAAUUAAUAUUAUAUUGGAUUAAAUAUAUAAAAAUAAUUUAGUUGUAAUUAGAUAUAUAAAAAUAAUUCAAUAAUAUUGUAUAUAUUUAUUUAAUGAUAAAAUUUUUUAUUAUUUUAAAAAAUUAAUACAGUAAUACUAUUGUUAAAUAAUAUCAGUAAUUUUUUUAUCACAUAAUAAUAUUAUUUUAUAAUUUUACAAAUUACUAAAAUUUUAUAAAAAAAUAAAUAAAAUAAAUAAAUAAAUAAUGGCC
rnacentral:lncRNA from 1 species